rnacentral:rRNA from 1 species
GGUUUAAUUCGAUGCAACGCGAAGAACCUUACCUACUCUUGACAUCCAGAGAAUUUAGCAGAGAUGCUUUAGUGCCUUCGGGAACUCUGAGACAGGUGCUGCAUGGCUGUCGUCAGCUCGUGUUGUGAAAUGUUGGGUUAAGUCCCGCAACGAGCGCAACCCUUAUCCUUUGUUGCCAGCGGUUCGGCCGGGAACUCAAAGGAGACUGCCAGUGAUAAACUGGAGGAAGGUGGGGAUGACGUCAAGUCAUCAUGGCCCUUACGAGUAGGGCUACACACGUGCUACAAUGGCAUAUACAAAGAGAAGCGACCUCGCGAGAGCAAGCGGACCUCACAAAGUAUGUCGUAGUCCGGAUCGGAGUCUGCAACUCGACUCCGU